UAAGUCUAAUCUUCACCUACAACAAUAG
rnacentral:piRNA from 1 species